rnacentral:rRNA from 1 species
GACGAACGCUGGCGGCGUGCCUAAUACAUGCAAGUAGAACGCACAGUUUAUACCGUAGCUUGCUACACCAUAGACUGUGAGUUGCGAACGGGUGAGUAACGCGUAGGUAACCUGCCUGGUAGCGGGGGAUAACUAUUGGAAACGAUAGCUAAUACCGCAUAAUAUUGAUUAUUGCAUGAUAAUUAAUUGAAAGGUGCAAUUGCACCACUACCAGAUGGACCUGCGUUGUAUUAGCUAGUAGGUGAGGUAACGGCUCACCUAGGCGACGAUACAUAGCCGACCUGAGAGGGUGAUCAGCCACACUGGGACUGAGACACGGCCCAGACUCCUACGGGAGGCAGCAGUAGGGAAUCUUCGGCAAUGGACGAAAGUCUGACCGAGCAACGCCGCGUGAGUGAAGAAGGUUUUCGGAUCGUAAAGCUCUGUUGUAAGAGAAGAACGGGUGUGAGAGUGGAAAGUUCACACUGUGACGGUAUCUGACCAGAAAGGGACGGCUAACUACGUG